UUAGAAUUGUUGUAUCACUUUACAAGAUCUCGAAAUCAUCAUCAUCAUCCACCACAGUAGUCACCCUUCUUUUCUUCGCAUCAUCCCUUCCCACGGCAAUUUGUCCAUCAUCUUCGGGCGCUGGUCGCUUCACUCCUGCAGUCACAUUAGGCAUAUCCUUCGGCGCAGUAUUGGCGGGGACAUGUUCGACAAUCUCGGGUUCUUCGGAAGAUUCACGAGCGGCAUCUUUGGGUUUAGCAGGAGCGAGCGGGAUGGUGAGUUUUUCGUCGGGGAGCGUGUAAGCAUUUGACGCUUCGGGGUCACUGUUAUAAUGAUGUUAAUGAUCUAUCUUUUUGGCAAACGCGAUAAUAUAUAUUUGAGACUCACGGUUGGCAGACGCAAAAGUGUACAGAUCCUCCAAAGUCCUUUCAAAAUUAUCCUCAAAGUCUGGAUCGGCCAAAAGCCUCCCUCCUUCAAACACCGUCCAUUCCACAUCCUUCCCUUCUCCUUGUCCUUCAAACUCUGCUGAUCCAAGCCAGCCUUUUACUACAUCCUCCACAAACUCGCCCAACGUGCAUUUCCCGACAUCAGCUUUGAACGGGAUGUAUACGUCUCGACAGACGCUGCAUGUCGGGUCUGGAUGUUGGGGUACAAAUGAGCCGAGGGGUUUGGUAGGGUCUGUUCGGAGGAAGACGUUGCGGACGGGGAUAUGGCUGGAGUCGGUAGAUGGGCCGCCGUUGGAGAUGGAGUGCAUUCGAGAAAGGAUGUUGAGGGAUUGCAUCACGAUAAGACCGGCGAUGAUGGCGUUAGUGGUAGCGAUAGCGGGAAUGAUAUUACCAGCCAUUUCUACAGCGGGUAUCAGUAUUGAUUGA
rnacentral:sRNA from 1 species